rnacentral:rRNA from 1 species
CAGCAGCCGCGGUAAAACGAAGGGGGCUAGCGUUGCUCGGAAUCACUGGGCGUAAAGCGCACGUAGGCGGAUGUUUAAGUCAGAGGUGAAAGCCUGGAGCUCAACUCCAGAACUGCCUUUGAUACUGGGCAUCUUGAGUCCGGAAGAGGUAAGUGGAACUGCGAGUGUAGAGGUGAAAUUCGUAGAUAUUCGCAAGAACACCAGUGGCGAAGGCGGCUUACUGGUCCGGUACUGACGCUGAGGUGCGAAAGCGUGGGGAGCAAACAGGAUUAGAUACCCCCGUAGUCCCUGUCUCUUAUAC